rnacentral:rRNA from 2 species
UACGUAGGUGGCGAGCGUUAUCCGGAAUUAUUGGGCGUAAAGAGGGAGCAGGCGGCAGCAAGGGUCUGUGGUGAAAGGCUGAAGCUUAACUUCAGUGUGCCAGAGAAACCGGGCAGCUAGAGUGCAGGAGAGGAUCGUGGAAUUCCAUGUGUAGCGGUGAAAUGCGUAGAUAUAUGGAGGAACACCAGUGGCGAAGGCGACGAUCUGGACUGCAACUGACGCUCAGUCCCGAAAGCGUGGGGAGCAAAUAGG